rnacentral:rRNA from 1 species
UCAAGCAAGAAAGAGCACAAGGAGAAUGCCUUGGCACUAGGAGCCGAUGAAAGACGUGGUAAGCUGCGAAAAGCUUCGGGGAGGCGCAAACAGCCAUCGAUCCGGAGAUAUCUGAAUGGGGAAACCUACUUGAGCAAACCUCAAGUAUCCAUACGUGAAUCCAUAGCGUAUGGAAGGGAACGCUGUGAACUGAAACAUCUAAGUAGCAGUAGGAGGAGAAAGAAAACUCGAUUUCCUAAGUAGCGGCGAGCGAACGGGAAAGAGGCCAAACCGAAGGACCUGGUUCUUCGGGGUUGCGGACUGCAAUUAGCAUUGCUGAGAGAUAGACGAAUGGUUUUGGGAAAGCCAGCCGUAGACGGUGAAAGCCCGGUAGACGAAAUCUUGAAGCAGCGAGCAGGAUCCAGAGUACCACGAGACACGAGAAACCUUGUGGGAAGCCGGGGGGACCACCCCCCAAGCCUAAAUACUCCCUAGUGACCGAUAGUGAAGCAGUACUGUGAAGGAAAGGUGAAAAGGACCCCGGGAGGGGAGUGAAAGAGAACCUGAAACCUUGUGCUUACAAACAGUCAAAGGCCUACGGGCUGAUGGCGUACUUUUUGUAGAACGGUCCGGCGAGUUACUAAUGCCAGCGAGGUUAAGAUGUCAGAAGCAUCGGAGCCGAAGGGAAACCAAGUCUGAAUAGGGCGUAGAGUUGGUAUUAGUAGACCCGAAACCGGGUGACCUAUCCAUGUCCAGGUUGAAGGAACCGUAAAAGGUUUUGGAGGACCGAACACACAUGUGUUGAAAAACGUGGUGAUGAGGUGUGGAUGAGUCUAACGGAGGUAAAGCACUGAACUGACGCGGGGCCCAAAAAGGUUACCAACUCAUAUCAAACUAAGAAUGCCGUCAAGAUACCCUCGGGAGUCAGUCUGCGUGAGAUAAGUCGCGUGGACAAAAGGGAAAGAGCCCAGACCGACAGCUAAGGUCCCAAAGUACGUGUUAAGUGGAAAAGGAUGUGGGAUUUCAUAGACAACUAGGAUGUUGGCUUAGAAGCAGCCAUACAUUUAAAGAGUGCGUAAUAGCUCACUAGUCGAGAAAACCUGCGCCGAAAAUGUAACGGGGCUAAAACACGACACCGAAGCUACGGAUUCCUUACAAAGUAAGGAGUGGUAGAGGAGCAUCCUGCAAGGACGAAGCCAAAGUGAGAGCGAUGGUGGACGAAACAGGAGAGAGAAUGCCGGAAUGAGUAGCGAGAUACAUGUGAGAAACAUGUAGGCCGAAUAUCUAAGGAUUCCUGGGUAAAGCUAAUCUUCCCAGGGUUAGUCGGGGCCUAAGGCGAGGACGAAAGUCGUAGUCGAUGGAUAACAGGUUGAUAUUCCUGUACUACACAUAAUCAGAACUGUGGGGACGCAGGAGGAUAGGGAAACCGGGGAAUGGAAAGACCCGGUCAAGCGUAAAGCUGUGGGAGAUAGGCAAAUCCGUCUUCUGUAAGUGAAACGUGAUGAGGACUGAAAAAAAGUAAGGAAGUUUCCGAAUCCACACUGCCGAGAAAAGCCGCUAUUGCGUUAUGUGUACCCGUACCGUAAACCGACACAGGUAGAUGAGGAGAAAAUCCACAGGCCGACGGGAGAAGUGUUGUUAAGGAACUCGGCAAAAUGACCCCGUAACUUCGGGAUAAGGGGAGCCUCGCAAGAGGCCGCAGAAAAGAGGCACAAGCAACUGUUUAGCAAAAACAUAGGUCUAUGCGAAACCGUAAGGUGAAGUAUAUGGGCUGACGCCUGCCCGGUGCUGGAAGGUUAAAAGGAGAGGUCAGCGCAAGCGAAGCUUUGAAUUCAAGCCCCAGUAAACGGCGGCCGUAACUAUAACGGUCCUAAGGUAGCGAAAUUCCUUGUCAGGUAAGUUCUGACCCGCACGAAAG